UACGUAGGGUGCGAGCGUUGUUCGGAAUCAUUGGGCGUAAAGCGUGAGUAGGUGGUUUGCUAAGUCGGGUGUGAAAUCCCUGGGCUCAACCCAGGAAGUGCAUUCGAAACUAGCUCACUUGAAGAUGGUAGAGGAAGGUGGAAUUCCAAGUGUAGAGGUGAAAUUCGUAGAUAUUUGGAGGAACACCGGUGGCGAAGGCGGUUCUCUGGGCAUUACCUGACGCUGAGGAGCGAAAGUGUGGGGAGCGAACAGG
rnacentral:rRNA from 1 species